rnacentral:rRNA from 1 species
UACGUAGGGUGCGAGCGUUGUCCGGAAUUAUUGGGCGUAAAGGGCUCGUAGGCGGUUUGUCGCGUCGGGAGUGAAAUCCACUGGCUUAACUGGUGGCUUGCUUUCGAUACGGGCAGACUGGAGGUAUGCAGGGGAGAACGGAAUUCCUGGUGUAGCGGUGAAAUGCGCAGAUAUCAGGAGGAACACCGGUGGCGAAGGCGGUUC